rnacentral:rRNA from 1 species
CCCUUAGAUGUUCUGGGCCGCACGCGUGCUACACUGAGUGGAUCAGCGGGUCAGGUUGCGCGAAAGCGUUUCCUAAUCUUUAAAUCCGCUCGUGAUGGGGAUUGACGGUUGCAAUUUUCUGUCAUGAACGAGGAAUACCUUGUAAGCGCGGGUCAUCAUCCCGCGCUGAAUACGUCCCUGCCCUUUGUACACACCGCCCGUCGCUCCUACCGAUUGAGUGGUCCGGUGAGGCUUUGGGAUCUGAGCGGAAAGAGCGUUUCGCUGUUUCUGCUCGGAAAACUCAGUCGAACUUUAUCAUUUAGAGGAAGGAGAAGUCGUAACA